CAGCGAAUGAGCCAUCUCCAGGUGCAUAGCUCGGGACGUCAGACAGGGUUACGUGGCGUUUCAAGGCUGCAGCUUUAUUACACGGCAGGCGGAUGUCGUCGUAUUUCCAUAGUAGUCCUGUUUCGAACCUGUCACCCUGCAGCUUCGUUUCCUUGGUAAGUAUCGCCAGCGCUCGUUCAUCGUCCUUGGAUUUGAGUGGAUGCGGAGAUUUAGUGAUACCGAGCGUAUCCAGGGAGAAGAAUGCCUUGACCUCCACCGUCAGCAGAUAGUCGUUGCUUGCCUCGCAACUGCAAACGUGAAAACUUCUGUAUCCUCCAGACGCGUUAGCGGUUGCGAUUGGACAAGGGAUUUGCUUAAUCUACAGUUGUCGACGCCAAUUAGAAGUCGAGGUACAGCAUGUGUGUAAGAGGCUAACGGCAAACCUUUCAGGUGUGGGUACGCUGCUUCCAAUUGUUGCACAUCAAUCGAUUGUGAGGG